AUUGAACGCUGGCGGCGUGCCUAACACAUGCAAGUCGAGCGGUAACGCGGGAGCAAUCCUGGCGACGAGCGGCGAACGGGUGAGUAAUGCUUCGGAAUCUGCCCAAUGGUGGGGAAUAACCAGCCGAAAGGUUGGCUAAUACCGCAUACGUCCUAUGGGAGAAAGCGGGGGAUCGUAAGACCUCGCGCCGAUGGAUGAGCCGAAGUCGGAUUAGCUAGUUGGUAGGGUAACGGCCUACCAAGGCGACGAUCCGUAGCUGGUCUGAGAGGACGACCAGCCACACUGGGACUGAGAGACGGCCCAGACUCCUACGGGAGGCAGCAGUGGGGAAUAUUGGACAAUGGGGGAAACCCUGAUCCAGCGACGCCGCGUGUGUGAAGAAGGCCUGCGGGUUGUAAAGCACUUUUAGUGGGGAUGAAAAGCUCAGGGCUAAUACCUCUGGGUCUUGACCUAACCCAAAGAAAAAGCACCGGCUAACUCUGUGCCAGCCGCCGCGGUAAAAC
rnacentral:rRNA from 1 species